rnacentral:lncRNA from 1 species
AUGGCCAAUUCAUCUUCCCCAAGUGCAGGUUACAGUGAGGGGGAGGCAAAGUUUUCCAGUGGGGCUGGAGCCUCGUCUGUGAGAAUCAUCACAGCCUCUGCAGCAGGUCCUGCCAGGGCCAAGGCCAGGGCCAACACUUCCCAUAAAGGUGCCAUUUCAUCCUCAGAGACUCUGUGCUCUCAAUCCGCUCAGCACCCCACUGUUCAGAGUUGUAAACUGAGGCUGAGAGAGGUGCUUGGACAUUGCCUGGGCUUGAAUCCAGAGGUGGCCAAGUCCCACUGUACUGCUGAGAGAGGAGCUCACCUUCCCACCAUCAGGGCCUGUGGGGUGGAGGUGUCGGCCCUUGAGGAGUCCAGGAAGAAGGGGCCGCUGUCCAGGAAGGCCGGCUCCAGGGGCUCCGUCGGGGUGUGUGGCGGCCCUGCCUGCACCGUGCUCACUGUGCAGAUCUCUGCCAGGUUCUCUGCCAACUGAUUUCCAAUCUGUGAUGCAAAGGGCAGACAUGGAAUUGGUGUCCCAGCCAGGGCUUCUCAGGAAGGUGUGGGGCUGAAGCAAAGCCCACACUCCAAGUGGUCCACAGAGGCUUGUGCCAGAGGGGCACAGGAGGACACCAGUGUAAAAGGGAUUCUCAUACUAAAAGUUAAAUUUCACAAGGAACACUUAGGAAUACUAGCUUGUUCAGACCACCCUGUUCACUGUGGAGAGGUUUAUAUAACUCCAUGCAUGAAGAGCACUAACCCAUGAGUCCUGAGAGAGCCUCAUGAGGUGAAAUCAGUCUUGUCCCAGGUGGCUGGGUCCCUUGAUAAGGCCACACAGAAUGUUUCUGGGCUUCUGAUGAAAUGGGCCUGGGGAGGAGUCAGGUCUCGCUUCUUUAGCCAUGUGAGGCUCAAUAGCUGUGUUCUCUGGGAUGUCAUUUAAUCCAGGGUUGCCAGACAUCUGACCAGAACCUUGUGGACUCCUGGGGCCUGGAGUGAAAAUGAUGUGAAAUGACAGACUUGAAUCAUGACAGGAAAUGCAGUGACACUGUCCAUGUCCUUGUUCUGAUGCUCCCAGCACCAUGUGGGAAUGACCCUGCACCUGCCCAGGGUAAAGGCUGAGAUGAGGGGAGAUGGUGGUUGAGGACCUGGAGUCCAGAUUCCUUGGGAGCAAGACCAUAGGUGCACUGCUUACCAAGCCCUGGAGGGAGAUGGUGAAGGUGUAAUCUGACCCCAAAGGUCCUCUCCAUCCUCCCUGGGCCUCAAUACAGAGUCCUCUCCACUCACACACACACCCUGCGCUUGAGCUGACACCUGUUGUUACCGUGAUCCCAGGGUCUGCUGCAGGGACAUGGCACACAAGCUCCCAGCAGCCUGUGCCACACCAGUGUCCUGUGUGCCGCUCUGUUGGCACAGUGCCUGGCAGCUGGCAGGAAGCAUGAGGCUCUCCCUGACCACAGUUUUUUGCUGUUUUGUCCCAGAUAACCAUGUGCUCCCCAUAAACAAACAGCUCUGUCCCAGACUUCUAACGCAGGAGGACAGGAGAUGACUCUGGAAGCUGUGGAUUAACACUGGCCACUGCCUUUCUCCUCCUGCUAGCCCUGUUCCGGGUAAGAAUGUGACAGGAGCCCAGGCUCACAACCUUCAGCACCCACUUCUGCUCAGGGGAAUUUUCCUCAAGACCUUGUCCCUCCUGCCUCACCCACCACACCUACACUGAGGACAAAGGUGGGAGUCGUGCAGGGGACUCACAGUGGUGGCCAGGCCUAAAUGGACCUGUCCUGGACACGACGGUUCAGAGUGGCUGGUGGCCGAGCCUAGGGACACCUGUCCUGGGCUCCCUCUUGUCUCUGAGCGCCUGGGGGCCGCAGCUGCCGAGCCCUGCCCUGUGCUGCCCAUGACAGUUGGGCG